GACGAACGCUGGCGGCGUGCUUAACACAUGCAAGUCGAACGGUGAAGCUCCAGCUUGCUGGAGUGGAUCAGUGGCGAACGGGUGAGUAACACGUGAGCAACCUGCCCCUGACUCUGGAAUAAGCGCUGGAAACGGCGUCUAAUACUGGAUACGAGAAGGGCCCGCAUGGGCACUUUCUGGAAAGUUUUUCGGUUGGGGAUGGGCUCGCGGCCUAUCAGCUUGUUGGUGAGGUAAUGGCUCACCAAGGCGACGACGGGUAGCCGGCCUGAGAGGGCGACCGGCCACACUGGGACUGAGACACGGCCCAGACUCCUACGGGAGGCAGCAGUGGGGAAUAUUGCACAAUGGGCGAAAGCCUGAUGCAGCGACGCCGCGUGAGGGAUGACGGCCUUCGGGUUGUAAACCUCUUUCAGCAGGGAAGAAGCGAAAGUGACGGUACCUGCAGAAGAAGCGCCGGCUAACUACGUG
rnacentral:rRNA from 1 species